GUCCUUUUUAAAUUCCUAAGUAUGACGAUUGGGUUCCACGCUCAAACCUGAGUGUGAACAUUUUUACAACAUCAGCACAUUACCAGUCUGACG
ensembl:snoRNA